rnacentral:tRNA from 1 species
GAAAGCAGAACUCGAGUGGUUGAGUGUCUCCCUUUUAAGGAGAAAGUUCUGGUUCAAGUCCAGGUGCUUUUA